rnacentral:rRNA from 1 species
GACGAACCGUGCGAACGUUGUUCGGAAUCACUGGGCAUAAAGGGCGCGUAGGCGGCUUUUCAAGUCAGGGGUGAAAUCCGGCAGCUCAACUGUCGAAGUGCCCUUGAUACUGAUGAGCUCGAGGGAGGUAGGGGUGUGUGGAACUUCCGGUGGAGCGGUGAAAUGCGUAGAUAUCGCUUGGAACGCCAACGGUGAAAACAGGUUGCUGGGGGUGUGCUGACGCUGAGACACGAAAGCCAGGGGAGCGAACGGG